rnacentral:rRNA from 1 species
AACGAACGCUGGCGGCAUGCCUAACACAUGCAAGUCGAACGAGACCUUCGGGUCUAGUGGCGCACGGGUGCGUAACGCGUGGGAACCUGCCUUUAGGUUCGGAAUAACUCAGAGAAAUUUGAGCUAAUACCGGAUAAUGUCUUCGGACCCAAAGAUUUAUCGCCUUUAGAUGGGCCCGCGUUGGAUUAGCUAGUUGGUGGGUAAGGCCUACCAAGGCGACGAUCCAUGGCUGGUCUGAGAGGAUGAUCAGCCACACUGGGACUGAGACACGGCCCACGACUCCUACGGGAGGCAGCAGUGGGGAAUAUU